rnacentral:rRNA from 1 species
AUGAAAAUUGACGGAGGCUUCGCCGGCGGAGCCCGGUCAGCUGUACAGGGUCGUCGGUCUGUGGCCUCGCCACUGGCUGCUGCCGCCGUUCCUGAAAAGCAGUCCGGCUUUGAACCCUCACCGUGGAGCGACUUCUUUACUGGAUAUGAGCCAGAACCACUGCAGAAGUCUGAGGAAUGGAUGUUGGUGAGAGCUAAUGAACUGAAGGAACAUGUAUGCAUGAUGUUUAAGUCUUGUAACAAUAUGGCAACGCAAAUUUGCUUACUGGAUACACUCCAACAUCUUGGAAUAGAUUACCACUUUAAAGAGCAGAUCGACACUAUUCUAAGCCAGAUCUUGGAGAGUGAAUUUUUUAGUAGCUCAAGCCUCAGUGAAGUUGCUCUAGGGUUUCGCUUGCUUAGGGAGCAUGGCCAUUGGGUUUCUCCAGAUGUUUUCAAUAAAUUCAAGGCCCAAGAUGGGGGCUUCAGUAAGGACAUAUCAAAUGAUCCAAAGGGGCUAUUAAGUUUGUAUAAUGCAGCUCAUCUUCAUGUUCAUGGUGAGCCAACACUCGAAGAAGCCAUAACUUUUGCGAGGCGUCAUCUUAGAUCAAUGAGGGGUAGUGAUCUGAAGACCCCACUAGCUAAUCAAGUCAAACGGGCCCUUCACAUACCACUGCCACGGGCUUGUAAGAGGAUAGAGACACUGCAUUAUAUCUCUGAGUACAAAGAAGAGGAAGGAUAUAAUCCAGUUCUAUUGGAGCUCGCAAAACUAGAUUUUAACCUUUUACAACAUGUCCACUUGAAGGAGCUCAAAGCGAUUACUGAGUGGUGGAACAAUUUUUCUAGAAAUAUUGGACUAAGUUAUAUUCGUUGUCGCGUGGUGGAGAGCUACACUUGGGCCUAUGUGGUAUAUUAUCAGAGAGGUUUCAAACUACCAAGACGUAUUAUCGCAAUGAUGAUUGUACUUAUUACGACUGUGGAUGACACAUAUGAUAUUCAUGCUACCAUAGAUGAUUGUCGGAAGUUACAUGAAGCCAUACAAAGAUGGGAUGAAAGUGCCGUUGAUAUUCUGCCAGAGUACCUCAAGAGGUUGUAUAUGGAGUUGCUGAUAACAUUUAAGAAUAUUGAGGAUGAAGUGCCAGCCAACGUCGACUACAAUGUUUCCUACCUUAGAAAAGCGUUUCAAAAUCACGUCAGCGGUUAUCUACAAGAAGCCGAAUGGUCACACAAUAAUCACUGGCCAAAAUUUGAAGAUCAAGUAAAUUUGACUAGCCUAACGGUAGGCGGACCAACACUAUCGAUGAGUGUGAUGGCAGGCGUGGAUAGAAAAAUAAUGAAGCAGUCACUCGAUUGGGCAGCUGGUGUACCCGACGUUGUUAUAGCAGGUGGAAAGAUUGUACGUUUCAUGAACGACAUUGCUGCAUUUAAGCGUCGGAAGUGCAAGGGUGAUGCAGCAAGCUCCGUGGAGUGUUACAUCCAUGAGCAUGGAGUCACAGACAAGGUGGCCAUUGCAAGGAUCGAUGAACUAAUAGAAGAGGAAUGGAAGAUUUUGAACAAAGCUCGCUUUGAAAAUCAUGCGAUUCUCCCAGCCUUGCAACCAAUUAUUGAUUUAGCACGCAGCUCGUCAUUGUUCUAUGAUAAUAGGAACGACGUGUACACAACAAGUACACAUCUUCAGGAGACUGUCGAGAGCCUAUUCCUCAAGCCCAUCUAG